UACAGCUAACAUUGUAGUUAAACCACAAGGAGGACCAGAGGGCUGGCCUACAGCUAACAUUGUAGUUAUAACAGCAGGAGGACCAGAGGGCAGGCCUACAGCUAACAUUGUAGUUAUAACAGCAGGAGGACCAGAGGGCUGGCCUACAGCUAACAUUGUAGUUAAACCACAAGGAGGACCAGAGGGCUGGCCUACAGCUAACAUUGUAGUUAAACCACCUGGAGGACCAGAGGACUGGCCUACAGCUAACAUUGUAGUUAAACCACCAGGAGGACCAGAGGGCUGGCCUACAGCUAACAUUGUAGUUAAACCACCAGGAGGACCAGAGGACAGGCCUACAGCUAACAUUGUAGUUAAACCACCAGGAGGACCAGAGGGCUGGCCUACAGGUAACAUUGUUGUUGAAUCACCAGGAGGACCAGAGGACAGGCCUACAGCUAACAUUGUAGUUAAACCACCAGGAGGACCAGAGGGCUGGCCUACAGCUAACAUUGUAGUUAUAACAGCAGGAGGACCAGAGGACAGGCCUACAGCUAACAUUGUAGUUAAACCACCAGGAGGACCAGAGGGCUGGCCUACAGCUAACAUUGUAGUUAAACCACCAGGAGGACCAGAGGGCUGGCCUACAGCUAACAUUGUAGUUAAACCACCAGGAGGACCAGAGGACAGGCCUACAGCUAACAUUGUAGUUAUAACAGCAGGAGGACCAGAGGACAGGUCUACAGCUAACAUUGUAGUUAUAACAGCAGGAGGACCAGAGGACAGGCCUACAGCUAACAUUGUAGUUAAACCACCAGGAGGACCAGAGGGCUGGCCUACAGCUAACAUUGUAGUUAAACCACCAGGAGGACCAGAGGACAGGCCUACAGCUAACAUUGUAGUUAAACCACCAGGAGGACCAGAGGGCUGGCCUACAGCUAACAUUGUAGUUAUAACAGCAGGAGGACCAGAGGACAGGCCUACAGCUAACAUUGUAGUUAUAACAGCAGGAGGACCAGAGGGCUGGCCUACAGCUAACAUUGUAGUUAAACCACCAGGAGGACCAGAGGACUGGCCUACAGCUAACAUUGUAGUUAUAACAGCAGGAGGACCAGAGGACUGGCCUACAGCUAACAUUGUAGUUAAACCACCAGGAGGACCAGAGGGCUGGCCUACAGCUAACAUUGUAGUUAUAACACCAGGAGGACCAGAGGACUGGCCUACAGCUAACAUUGUAGUUAAACCACCAGGAGGACCAGAGUGCAGGCCUACAGCUAACAUUGUAGUUGAACCACCAGGAGGACCAGAGGACAGGCCUACAGCUAACAUUGUAGUUAAACCACCAGGAGGACCAGAGGGCAGGUCUACAGCUAACAUUGUAGUUAAACCACCAGGAGGACCAGAGGACAGGCCUACAGCUAACAUUGUAGUUAUAACAGCAGGAGGACCAGAGGGCUGGCCUACAGCUAACAUUGUAGUUGAACCACCAGGAGGACCAGAGGGCUGGCCUACAGCUAACAUUGUAGUUAUAACAGCAGGAGGACCAGAGGACAGGCCUACAGCUAACAUUGUAGUUAAACCACCAGGAGGACCAGAGGACAGGCCUACAGCUAACAUUGUAGUUAUAACAGCAGGAGGACCAGAGGGCUGGCCUACAGCUAACAUUGUAGUUAAAUCACCAGGAGGACCAGAGGACAGGCCUACAGCUAACAUUGUAGUUAUAACAGCAGGAGGACCAGAGGGCUGGCCUACAGCUAACAUUGUAGUUAUAACAGCAGGAGGACCAGAGGGCUGGCCUACAGCUAACAUUGUAGUUAAACCACCAGGAGGACCAGAGGGCUGGCCUACAGCUAACAUUGUAGUUAAACCACCAGGAGGACCAGAGGACAGGCCUACAGCUAACAUUGUAGUUAUAACAGCAGGAGGACCAGAGGACUGGCCUACAGCUAACAUUGUAGUUAUAACAGCAGGAGGACCAGAGGACUGGCCUACAGCUAACAUUGUAGUUAAACCACCAGGAGGACCAGAGGACAGGCCUACAGCUAACAUUGUAGUUGAUAGUGUUCAGUGUUGAAUAGUGUACAGAUGAACUAUUGAUUGUUCAUGAACUGCACUUUUUCUACCAUUAUUUAUUGUCUGCACUAUGUCUCCAUUAUGUGUUGUUAUGUAUGCUCAGAGCCUCAACCAACAUUUCCCCAUGGGGAUAAUAAAGCCA
rnacentral:lncRNA from 1 species